rnacentral:snRNA from 1 species
AUAUUUCGGAUAUUAUCGGUUAC